GCAUGCGUGCACGCAUGCGUGCACGCAUGCAUGCAUGCAUGCAUACAUGCAUGCGUGCAUGCACGCAUGCAUGCAUGCAUGUAUGCGUGUAUGCAUGCAUGCAGACAUGCAUGCAUGCAUGCAUGCAUGCAUAUAUGCAUGCAUCCGCGCAUGCUCGCAUGUAUGCAUGC
rnacentral:ncRNA from 1 species